rnacentral:lncRNA from 1 species
UUCGCAGCCUUCUUCCCUAUAACGCUGCCAUACCCCCAACCAAAAUUCAUGUUUUCCGUCGCCCUCACCCAAAAUAAAAUCACGCCCCGUCUCCUUGUCGCCGUCGCGAGCAGCUUGCAUCUCCUCCUGUAAGCUUGCAUCGGCCCCUCCUCCCAAAAAUUGCGGCCGAACCACCCACCCUUACCUCUCCUGUCGGUAAGCUUGCACCGGCCCCUUUCAGAUUUGUAUCGAAAGCAAAUAAAUUUGGCGAAAGAGAAAAGAAUCGAGAACAAAAUCUUUACAUGCCCAAAAACAGAAAUUCGCAGAUCUUACCUUCAAGGGGAUUUGACGAAAAUCUCAUCAAAGGACUGAAGAAUUCAUAUUUUGAAGUAAAUUGAGGGAUAAAAUUGUAAACAUAAUUUGUAAUCUCAAAC